AUGCUGCGCCACGUCGACCCUGCGCGCCGUCCGCGCGAGAGCCGCUCGAUCACCGUCGCCUCCCCGGCGGUCGACCAAGCUAUCUUCUUCCUGCGCAACCACGCCGUCACCCUACGCGCCGCUGACGGGGUCAACGCCACGUCCCCCAUGGCGGUGGGUAGGGCAAUCGAGGCACAACUCACCGUCCCCGAACACAUGCUGCGAGUCACAGCCCACCACCCGGAGCACUACCUCAUCAUCUUCAGCCAGUCGCCGCACCAAGUCAACGCCGUCCGGAGG
rnacentral:rRNA from 1 species